rnacentral:rRNA from 1 species
ACUCAAAUGAAUUGACGGGGCCCCGCACAAGCGGCGGAGCAUGCGGAUUAAUUCGAUGCAACGCGAAGAACCUUACCAAGGCUUGAAAUGCAAGGAAAUCUCUCGGAGACGGGAGGUGCUUUUAGCGUCUUGCACAGGUGGUGCAUGGUUGUCGUCAGCUCGUGUCGUGAGAUGUUGGGUUAAGUCCCGCAACGAGCGCAACCCUCGUCCUAUGUUGCCAGCGGAUUAUGCCGGGGACUCAUAGGAGACUGCCGGGGUCAACUCGGAGGAAGGUGGGGAUGAGGUCAAAUCAUCAUGCCCCUUAUGUCUUGGGCUUCACGCAUGCUACAAUGGCCGGUACAGAGGGCUGCGAUAUCGCAAGAUGGAGCGAAUCCCAAAAAGCCGGUCUCAGUUCGGAUUGGGGUCUGCAACUCGACCCCAUGAAGUCGGAGUCGCUAGUAAUCGCAGAUCAGCAACGCUGCGGUGAAUACGUUCCCGGGGCUUGCACACACCGCCCGU